UGGGGAAUAUUGCACAAUGGGCGCAAGCCUGAUGCAGCCAUGCCGCGUGUAUGAAGAAGGCCUUCGGGUUGUAAAGUACUUUCAGUCGGGAGGAAGGUGGUAAGGUUAAUAACCUUAUCAAUUGACGUUACCGACAGAAGAAGCACCGGCUAACUCCGUGCCAGCAGCCGCGGUAAUACGGAGGGUGCAAGCGUUAAUCGGAAUUACUGGGCGUAAAGCGCACGCAGGCGGUUGAUUGAGUCAGAUGUGAAAUCCCCGGGCUUAACCCGGGAAUUGCAUCUGAUACUGGUCAGCUAGAGUCUUGUAGAGGGGGGUAGAAUUCCAGGUGUAGCGAUGAAAUGCGUAGAGAUGUGGAGGAAUACCGGUGGCGAAGGCGGCCCCCUGGACAAAGACUGACGCUCAGGGGGGAAAGCGUGGGGAGCAAACAGG
rnacentral:rRNA from 1 species